rnacentral:rRNA from 1 species
UACAGAGGGUGCGAGCGUUAAUCGGAAUUACUGGGCGUAAAGGGUGCGUAGGUGGUUUAGUAAGUUAGAUGUGAAAUUCCUGGGCUUAACCUGGGGACUGCGUCUGAUACUGCGAAGCUAGAGUACUGUAGAGGGAAGUGGAAUUUCCGGUGUAGCAGUGAAAUGCGUAGAUAUCGGAAGGAACAUCAGUGGCGAAGGCGACUUUCUGGUCCAGCACCGACGUUCAGGCACGAAAGCGUGGGGAGCAAACAGG